rnacentral:rRNA from 1 species
AGUUACCAGCACGUUAUGGUGGGCACUCUAAGGAGACUGCCGGUGGACAAACCGGAGGAAGGUGGGGAUGACGUCAAGUCAUCAUGGCCCUUACGGCCUGGGCUACACACGUGCUACAAUGGUCGGUACAAAGGGUUGCCAAGCCGCGAGGUGGAGCUAAUCCCAUAAAACCGAUCGUAGUCCGGAUCGCAGUCUGCAACUCGACUGCGUGAAGUCGGAAUCGCUAGUAAUCGUGAAUCAGAAUGUCAUAAAAAGGUGAAUACGUUCCCGGGCCUU